CGGACGGGUGAGUAACGCGUGGGUAACCUGCCUCAUACAGGGGGAUAACAGUUAGAAAUGACUGCUAAUACCGCAUAAGCGCACAAAACCGCAUGGUUUGGUGUGAAAAACUGAGGUGGUAUGAGAUGGACCCGCGUCUGAUUAGCUAGUUGGAGAGGUAACGGCUCACCAAGGCAACGAUCAGUAGCCGACCUGAGAGGGUGACCGGCCACACUGGGACUGAGACACGGCCCAAACUCCUACGGGAGGCAGCAG
rnacentral:rRNA from 1 species